AUUGAACGCUGGCGGCAUGCCUUACACAUGCAAGUCGAACGGCAGCGCAGUCAUCGCCCUCGCUUCCGGUUGCCGACGGGCGGGUGAGUGAUCGAAACAUGCCCAUCUACUUUGUCUUGCGGGGCGACGUCGGGAAUCUUACGCCAAUAGCCCUUACGACCUACGCGGGGAACCGAAGGACCUCGCGCCCUUGCGGCGUCCGAUGUCGGAUUAGCUAGUUGGCGGGGUAAAGGCCUACCAAGGCGACGAUCCGUAGCUGGUCUGAGAGGAUGACCAGCCACACUGGGACUGAGACACGGCCCAGACUCCUACGGGAGGCAGCAGUGGGGAAUUUUGGACAAUGGGGGCAAGCCUGAUCCAGCCAUGCCGCGUGGGGGAAGAAGGCCUUCGGGUUGUAAAGCGCUUUUGUUGGGGAAGAAAACCAGUAGGCUAAUACCCCGCGGUUAUGACGGUACCGGAAGAAUAAGCACCGGCUAACUUCGUG
rnacentral:rRNA from 1 species